UUUAAAAAAAAACAUACCUAGUGAAUAACAUCCUUGUCCCACUUCUCUACUCACUUGGGGAAAGAUCCAACAACAUGCACCUAAGGGGCCAGGUCCACUCAGAUUGGGUCCUACCAAAUGUUCCCAUAAAUAGACAGCAUGGUCCGCACAGGGUCCAAUUCUACUAAUGCAGGCCUGUAGAAAACCAGUGUGACUCCAUCUUGUGUCAACAUCAUCUUACGUCAGUGGCUAGAAAUUGCCCUGCCCCUGAGAGGAUAGCCAAUUUCCCUAUUGUUAUUGCUCAACUCUGUUAGCCCGUACUCCUGGCCCCAAACAGCAUGCUCUUAUCUUAGAAUGAACAUUGUGUCACAUGAUCCUUGGACAUCUGGAAUCACAUCAUUAUGUAUCCUCACUGCUUUCCUAACUGAUGCGUGUUGCCACAAUCUUCAUGAACCUCAGUAGCCCCGUGGAUGAACAGCCAGGUCGUCUGGACCAGGCCAUGGCCCUGACAUGGAAGUUUACCUCACUCUUGAUGCCUCUGCAGGUGUUGUGGCCACCACCUUUGUCUGGUUGUCUGAGGCCUCCUGAUCAGGCUGGACUCUGAUUGACUAAGAGAUAUGCUAGGCUGGUGACUAUGGUCUCCUUCCUGCAAGUUACUGUCUGGUAGCAUGCUGGGCCUUCCUGAAAACCAGGAGUGCUACAGAGAUGAACCUGUCCGAACAUUAGAAAAGGGGAGUGAUGCAGGUGUUUUAGCUUGUCCCAAGGAGGACGGAUUCUAAGGUCACAGUUUUGUAAGAAAAUUAGAGUGUGAUCUACAGCUUCAGUAUAGAUGAAGACCCUAAACUUGUUUCAUACUUCUGAUAGGCCCUGUGUCUACGUAUCCUUGGGAUCUAGAACUGUUCACGAUGAUCAUCAUGAGAGUACAGUUUUCUCUGUACCACUGAAAAUGACAACUUAUUUGAAGUGAACUUUUGUGUGUGUUUUAGGGAAAUAACAUGUCAUCUUGUUACACUACGACCACCAGCCCCACUCCUACAUCUCCACUUGGGUCUUUAAUUGUCACAAAAAUGAUCAAGAAUUCUUUUAAUCUCUGAGACUUCAACAGAAGAAAGAAAUGCUACAUUUAAUUAUUUAAAGCUACCUGAAGCUAUACAUUUAUAGUAGUGAUCACUGAAGAUAAUUGAAGAAUUCAGCACCCAACUUUAAGCUCAAGUCGAACUGCCAAAAAGGCUUAAAAAUUCAAAGACGUUGGAAGAGAACUCCAGUGACAUCAAACCCAGGAGCACGGGCUUGGGAGUUGUUCAUAACUACCAGGAUUUUCUCCACUGCAUCCAUAGGCAGGCGGGAGACCAUCCCCAUUUCCACCUCUGCCAGCACCACCUCUACCUGCAGGAAUUAUUCCUUACCACCAAUUCCUUUACCUCAACUAAAUGGUAUCCCAUAUAUGCACAUUAUCAAAUGCAUAAAACUGAAUUCCAAGUGUGGUUCUUGAACUCCAUGGCUUAAUUCUUCUGAUUCAAAAGAAUCAACUGAUUCAAAAGUAAAACUUCAAUAGAUGUUUUUGGCAUCUUCUUUCUAACCAGUGGCAUUAUAUGCAAUGUCACAGGGAACACAGGACGCAAGCCAUGAUGAAGGGAUGAAGGCUCUAAGCCAGGCUACUAUGCUAUGUCUCCAGACCUUCUUUUCAAGCCCUCCACCCCCUUACCUGCCUGUGUUCUUUUGCCAUAGAAUCUGGUACUUCCCUAUCCAGCCAGUCCAAUAAAAUUCCAGAUAUGACUAAAAGCGUCUCUGUUUUAAAUGCCCACAACCCCUGUCAGUGGUCCACCAUUGCGGGUACCAAAGUCCCGCCCAGACAUGGCGGCCACCAGGAUCCCAAUCCUUGGUUUUCCUGUUAGUCAUACCAGGGACACCUAGCCCAGGUUCUUGUCCAGGUUUAUUUGGGCCUUGGUCCAUGUUGCCCUACUACCCCUCUCCAGCCCAGGUUAAACUGCAAUCUAGAGAAUUGGACUCCAGUUUCUAACGUCAUUCCUCCCCAGGAAGCAAAGCACACUGGUCACUGGAUUUGCAAAAUUGUUCCGCUUGAUGGCAGUAUUACUGCAGAAAUGCCAACCUGGCCUUUCCCUGCCCCACCCCCACAGGGUCCUCUCUCUGCCCUUUGCUUAGAAAAAAAUAUCAAUACAUGUUGGACCUUGCUAACACAAAGAGGCUCACCACCUUUUCCACUUGGGGUGUGCACUCCAAAGGCUGACACUUCAUCCUUCAAGACCUUGUCUUCAUCUAGACAUCGUAUGAUAGCAUAUGAAACUAUGCACCUGUAACUUUAGUUCCAGGUUUGCUGAGACCUCCAGAGUCCACACAGCCCCAGCCCAGCAGGAGGCUCUUCAUACAACUUAGAUUUGCUUUUAAGUUUUGCCAAUGCCUAGAUGCACAGCAUUUGCAGAAUCAAAGAUAUGAAUGUGAAGUUGGACAAAGCUCUAUAAAGGCAGAGAAUCAAGUUAACAGUUUCCUUUUCUUUCCAAGGGGCUGUUAUGGUUGGGUGCAAAGUUUAUAGGGGCAGAAGUAGAUCACUUCUCUUUCCAUGACCUUGUGUCAAGAUCACUUGGCAUCUGGGGUGUUCCUUUAGUGGAAUACCCGCAGUAGUGGUGACUGCCCUUGCCUCAGCCCAAAUCAGAAGAUAGGAACACAGAGAGGCCAGUUAUGUACACCACAUUUUGGGUUAAAAAAUGAAAAGGCAACUCCAGUGGCUCCCAGGUGCCCACCUUGGGAGCCUAUAUGCUUCUGGGAAUUUCUCACUUGUCUUUCCUUAGAGGGAAUUAUUAAAAGAAUGACACCGGGCCAGGCACGUAAACAGUUCUAGAUCUUUGGGACAGUACCCAGAUGCUUUCCAAUUCAUCUGUUUCUGCCACUGUCCAUGCUGAAACCCCCAGCACCCCAUGGGAGAAAAGCCAGAUCCUCAUGGCUAGUCCAUCCUCUUGUGUGGGGCACAGCUCAUUCUUGUACAUACCCCCCCGAUCCUUAUAUACCCCACAUCCUUGCUCUGUACGUGUUCCUAUAGCACCCACUGUUACGCACAGACAGAUUGUAUGGGUUUCCUCACAGACUCAUGCUUGCAAGAAACCUGGAACCUCAAUUCUGGGAUGACCACCAGCUCUGGAUCACUUACAAUUAGGACAGGAGUUGCGCGAUACACUGUUUAAGGGUCCCACUCCUAAGGACAGGGAAAUAAUUUCAUCUACUUUGGUUUUAUGUGAAAAGCCAGCUGGACAGGGAGGGAUGUCAAGGUCAAAUUAUUCUUUCAGGUUGGGCAGGAAGUGUCUUUCUUCUUCCUGCCCACCACCUAAAAAGAGGCUUUGCACCAAUGCAUAGGCCUCCCAAUGAUUCCGUCACAAAGUCCUCUUGGGGUUAUCAAAAAGUGCCCAAUUGAAGGCAGAGUUCCCACAGAAAUGACAGCUUGUCCUUGCUGUGUGAGCCCACUUCUGCCCUUUGCUAACUACAAACAGGGACUAGCUUUUGAAUGGGUUAAAUCAGAGCGCACAGGGUUACUUCCCCUCUGGACAACUCUUCAAUUAUUUUGAGCUGGGGUUGGAUGCAUCCUCCUCAUGGCAAGAAACCUUCAAGAAGAGACAAGAGGAAAAACAUGGAAGAAAACCAUAUAAACAUGUCAGGAUUUCAGUCAAAUGGUGAUGCUAAAUUUGUACCAAGUAAAAGGAAAGUACACCUUCUUGUGCCUUCACACUCUCAAGUUGGUCUCACUUUGUCAAGAGACACAUUUGGGGAGCACAAAAAUAUCAGCAGCAGGCUGACCCAAUGCAUUCUAACCAACCCCCAAAUGCCCAAGUAAUUAUGACCACAGAUCCUUUUUUGUCAUUCUGUUAGGGGAAAAAGGAUGUCCCAAAGCUAAUUCCAUAUAGGCUUUGUUAAUAUUGGGGUUGCUCUAUAACAAUUCCAGCAAGAACAUGUUCCCAAGUUCUCCCUGGCCUGCUGGAAGGCCAUGUGCAGUGAACUGAGUUCAAGAGCAAUCAGGAGAUGAUGGAGGAACAGGUUUGGAGGGCUCCACAAAAAGCAAAGGAGGCAAAGUUCUUAUAGGCCUGGCUCUCCAAACCCAUUUCCCUGCCUGGGACUGGAACAGCUGCAUUAUGUGGUGAGGUGGGAGCUGAAUGGUGCUGUCACUGGAAAAUGGCUUCCCAGGGGCCAAGAUACAAAACAGGUGCAGGUCUGAUACUAGGCCUGAGCCCAAUCUGUUUCUUCUUUGGUCCUGUAGGUCACUGACAUGAACUGACUCCCACCCCUGCUCCCCCCGCCAAAUAAUAUAUGCAGCUUGACCAUGCAGCUACUUAUUUCUUUAUUUUUCAAAGAUUUAUUUAUGCAUAUAAGAACUGGGUACAGGCCAGAGGUGCAGGGGGUGAGAGGAUUCACCAGAAAGUGGGUAGCAGAACAGGUAGAUUGACUAAAAUACAGCUACUUAUUUCUGACUCCACAUCAGGAUCUGACUCCAGAACCUUUUCUACUGUGGUUGAAAAUUUCCAAAGGACACACCAUUGUCCCCAUGCCAUGAACCUACCGUGGGUGAUUCUUGCUUCCUGAGGCUCGCCGUAAUGCCAGUAUCACUACCUCUGCCUGUGAUGAAAUGCACUGAUUUGGAAAAAAGAACAGAACAAAGCGUACUCACCAGAACAUUAGGGCCUAGCGAUGAUCAGUGUCCUUGUUUUCACUUCUUGUCAUUUCCUUCCACUCUGUCACCUCUGCAAUGAGAGAGCGGAAGGCCAUUCAUUCAGUGUGGAAACAGCAACAGUGCUGGUUAGCAGGGGUCAUAUGCUCCACCACUCCCCACUCCACCCUUCACAGCCCAGGCAAUAUCACGUAUAUAUGAGGUUACUAUUUAUACCAGGUCUCAGUUCACCCCGAGCUUCUGAAUAAAGCACCAUGUGCUAAGUACUUUCACUCAUGUUUUAGGAAUUGCACAGAUGGCAGUGAAGGAGAGCAUAAAGCAACUCAUACCGGGAUGUCUCCGUUGAAACCUGAAGAUACCUUCCCCCACAUGCCUUUAUCAUGGAAACUACAGCCAUCACCUUGGCAUUGAUAGUGCAGAAAUUUCCUACUCCACUCUGCACUUACAUGACUACAUCAGGAUAAAAUGGAUAUUGUGGAAAGGCCAUGUCCUCCCCCUAAUGGAGUGACAUACUCUCACUGCCCAGUGAUCAUUUAAUAGCUGUACUAGCUAUUUCUUCUCUAACAGCACACAGAUCUAUCACAUUGGUUUCCAGGAGUAAAGAUUACUUUAGGAUGUAGCUGAGUUAGAAUCAACCCAACCACUUUCUUCUGUUUGGAAUCACAUGCUGGAAAAGGUACCCUGGUGAUGCACACUUGGAAUAAUUACAACUCUGUAUAGCUCUCUACAUAGCCAGUUCUGUGGAAGGCAGAAGAGGGAAGAAAGACAAACCCAGUGUCCAAAGAUAAGGACUUGUUAAAUAUGGUACUUGGGCAUACUGACAGCUGGGUGCUGUCAGAAGAGAAAUGGAGGAUGUCUACAGGGCAGGUCAUUUAUUCUGCACAGAUGUGCCCAGGCCAAGAGCCCUACCUGCUGUGAGAUCCAGUGAAUGCAAAAGACAUGUCAUUAAGAGAGCCUUGUUGGGCCAAGAGAUGGUAACACAUACAGGGGCUGCUGUGUCUAUUGUCUUUCUUUUGCGUUUAACCCUGGAAACUUAAAAAUGAGGAAAAAUUACAUAUGGUUCCCUCUGCGGGGAGGGGGUUGGAAGGCAGAGUGUGUUUGGAAAUGCUUGCCAUGAAACAGAAAUGGCUUUUGCAUUGAACUGUAAAUAUGUAUAUCCAGUGGUGUCUCCAGCAUAGUUAUGGAGGAAAAUCCAGGAGAAAGGAAAUUUAUUUAUCUACAAAUAGGCCACUGUAACUAUGAUCAACUGUUCACUGCACAUAUCACUGUCAAGACACAUACACAACCGA